rnacentral:lncRNA from 1 species
UUAGUAACUGGGGAAAUUGUAUCAGAUUCAUGUCAAGAGGCUCCUCUAACGAUAUCAAUAUAAGAGCACAAUCUCGUCUUAAAGGAACACACUGCGGUCUGGGCCUGUCCAGGGCAGAAAGCAUUGUUCCCAUGUCUGUGGCAAGAGACAUAUGACCCAUCUUUUUCAGAGACUUUUUUUAAAAAAAUGAUGCCCAUGGCCAAGUUAUUGGUACGUAGGUCUAGGUACUCUGAGAGACAGAAAAGCUUUGGCAAAAAAGAUGGUAGAUUAGCAGCGACUUCCAAAGACUUAGCUAAAACAAGAAGUAAAUAAGUAAAUACUAGGACACGAAAGCCAUUCUGCCUUAAGUAAGUAUCCACCUCCCCUGGUGAAGGAGAGAGUGGAGAUUCAUCAAGUUCUUUUUUUUCAGGGCCGUACCCGCAGCAUAUGGAAAUUCCCAGGCUAGGGGUCUAAUCAGAGCUGUACCUGCUGGCCUAUGCCACACCCACACCAACACAGGAUGCAAGCCACGUCUGUGACCUACACCACAACUCAUAGCAACGCCGGAUCUUUAACCCACUGAGCAAGGUCAGGGAUCGAACCUGCAUCCUCAUGGAUGGUAGUCAGAUUUAUUAACCACUGAGCCACAACAGGAACUCCCGUCAAGUUCUUUUUUUAUUCAUUCAUUCAUUCACCCAUGCAUUCACUCAUCAACUACUAUGUUCUAGGCACUGUUUAAGGUGCUUGGAAACAUCAAUAAACAGCAAUAAAAAGACAAUGAUCCCUGAUUGGGGUGUUUUGCAUUUCCACAGAUAUUUAGGGGGAGAGGGUGUGCAAAAAAAUAAUAAGAGUAAUACAAAGCCCAUCAUACAGUGUGUUCACAAGUGACAAGUACAGUGCAAAACCAAAAGGAAAUCAUGGGAGAGGAGAUAGAUUGGGGGUGUCAUGAGGAGGAAUGGGUUGAAAUUUUAAAUAGGAUGGAUUCAGAGAAAAUGUAACUUUGAGCAAAAGAGUCCAUGGAGGAGUUCCCGUCGUGGCGCAGUGGUUAACGAAUCCAACUAGGAACCAUGAGGUUACGGGUUCGAUCCCUGGCCUUGCUCAGUGGGUGAAGGACCCAGCAUUGCUGUGAGCUGUGGUGAAGGUUGCAGAUGCAGCUCGGAUCACGCGUUGCUAUGGCUCUGGCGUAGGCUGGUGGCUACGGCUCCGAUUCGACCCCUAGCCUGGGAACCUCCAUAUGCCGCGGAAGCAGCCCUAGAAAAGGCAAAAAGACAAAAAAGAAAAAAAAAAAAAAAAAAGAGUCCAUGGAAUGACAUGUGGAUGACCAGUCUGAAUAGCAAAUGGAAGAGUUUUAUAGUGGGAGCGUGCUUGGCUUGAUUAAACAAAAAAUAAAGAACACAGUGGGGUUAGAGAGCUUAUGAUUCAGGAAGUCUGAAAGACCCAGGAAUCUAUGUUUUUAAUAAGUAGCCUAGGUGAUUCCCAUGUCAGGGGUUCCAGAACCAGAACCAGGUGUUUUGAGAAACACCACUCAGGGCCAAACACCUGCGUGUCGGCGGGUUUACCAGAAGUCUCCUUCUGGGAUAGGAACUCACACAUAAUGACAGGAGACAGCUGUAGGGAGACGCCAGACCCUAUACCAGGCUGGGCCGAUUCCCAUGUCUGAAUCACCCCUAACCAGGGGCCAGAGCAGCAAAGCAAUAUUGUGGUCAAGUCUGGGUGUUUUCAGACUAGAACUCAAGUUUGCUUCCUGCUACCCACAGCCUAGUCCAAAAAAAAAUUCUUUUCCAAAGCUGUUUCUUAGGUGCUCAGAGUAUUUUAAUGAUAUUUAUUAUUUUCUGAUUACAAAUAUAAUGCAUGCUUAUGGUAGAAAUUACCACCAUGCAUAAUAAAAAAAACAAACAAAUUGUUUUUGGUUCCCACUCCUCCAGGGUAACUACCAAUAAUUGUUUCUCUUCAUAUCACAUUCCCCGCCCCUUCCCAAUCUCUCUUAACCUUUGUUUCCUUUUCUGUUGUGUGGGGAUAAAAAUAACCUACCCUUCAGGGUCAUAUAAUGGAUGCUUAAUAAACCACAUUACGCCUACUGUUAUUCAACUUUGAUUGAGUUUAUUUUUUCCACUUGACAUUCUAUAAUGAGUAUUUUCCAAGUGUCAUUAACCACUCUUCAAAAACAUGAUUUUUAAUGGCUGCAUAUUAUGCCAUCAUUUAAUGAACUAUAAUUUACUUAACUAUCCUGUUAUUGAGCAUUGAAGUGUUUUCUAAUACUUUUUCUAUUAGAAAUAACACUGAGUGUUUAAAUCUUUUCCUACCUUGCUGCUUCCCUUAGGAUAGACUUUCAGAAAAGGUAUGGAAGGACAGAAAGUAUAAACAUUUUCAGGCUUUAAUAUAUGCUGCCAAAUUAUUUUCCCGGGGGGUGGGGUGGAGGAGAGAAGUAUGUAUCCCAUUAUCAUCACCAACAUUAAAGAUUACCUAUAAUUUAACGCCUAUAUCAGAAAUGAAUAUGUGUCAGCAUAAUAACUGUGAGAGUUGUGAAAAGAUACAAUCCACAACAGAUCUUUAAAAUUAUCGAGCCUUCUGGGUUUAUACAGUGCAUUCAAAUCUGUAAGGAAGAGACUUGAAAUCCUGAUCAUUUUCUAACCACUACUCACUUUCUAAGAGACCUCCAUUAGUGGAAAGACAUCAUUUCUCAUGGGCAAGUUUCUAAUAUUAGUCCAUAUCUUGAAAAAUCUUCCACUCUUUUGGUCCCUAUUGCUAAAUUCCAAUCAUCCUGAAGGGGAUUGAUAAUUGUGGCAAAUACACAAAAUGAUUGCUACCUGCAGAGGCAAUCACUUCCAACAUCAGCAGAACUGAUGAGCAAUUCAUUAUCAAGGAUUUAAUUGCUAUAAACCUGGGAGGAAAGGGGAUUUCUCGUAUGAUUUCCCGGAUUUCAUGUGUCCAACCCUGCUUGGCUCCAAAUUGGUUUUCAUAAAGGGGAAUUUGAAAUCAGGCAUGAGGAUAAUUACACAAUGGAAAGUGCAGUUGAAAUAUUUGCAUAACCUGUCUUGAACCUGAGAUGUUAACUUUAAAUGGGAUGUUGCAUCCAUGAGUGGGAUAGAAUCUUCUUUGGUGAUUAUAGCAAUACUGGCACAGGCCUAUAGUUGAAUGCAAAAUACAAUGCAGAAAUGCAAAAACACUGGUUAAAAAUACUGUGUAAUCUAUGAAGAGGCAGUAUGGUUUAAUGGCUAGAAUUGGAACUAUGGAUUUGGAUUAUCUGGACCCAAAGACUGCCUUUGUUCCCCAGUUCUUACGAGUGAACUUAAAUACAGUAGGCAUAUCUUCCACAAGUCUCAACAGAAAUGAUGAAGAUGGGAGGUCCCAUUGUGGCUCGGCGGUAAUGAACCAGACUAGGAUCCAGGAGGAUGCGGGUUCAAUUCUUGGCCUUGCUCAGUGAGUUAAAGUUCCCGCAUAGCCGUGAGCUGUAGAGUAGGUCAUAGAUGCAGCUCAGAUCCUGUGUUUCUGUGGCUGUGGCACAGACCAGUGGCUACAGCUCCCCACCCCCCCAGCCUGGAAACUUCCAUAUGGCACAAGUGCGACUUUAAAAAGACAAAAAAAAAUAAUAAUAAUAAUCAUACUAAAAAAAAGAGAACAGAGAGAGAAGAGAAAAAAAAGAAAUGAUGAAGAUCGUGCCUACCUUAUAUGGUUACUGUGAAGAUGAUCGGAGAAUAUCCUCAGGCUUGGGGCCCACCUAAAGUAAAUUAAUAUUAUUCCUAAGAUACCCUGAAGGUUUUCUUCACUAUCUACAUUUGACUUUGUCCAUUGACCUCAGGUAUUCUCUCCACCAAGAACUAUUUUUCAAAAUUGUUAGAUCUUCAAGUUUAAGAAAUUACCAUGAGGAAAAGGGAGUGCCACUUAUAGGUGUCAUUUUGCCUUAUUUUUGCAUGACACUAUUGUGAGUUAGGGUUCGAAUCCUAGAUCUUCAUUUGUUAGCCAUGUGAUUUAGGGCACAUGAGCUCUCUAAGCUUCAUUUUUCCUCACCCUGUAAAAUGAGGCUAGUAGUAAUCCUGACUUCACCUUACUAUGAUGGCUGCACAUAUUAAGUGCUCAAAUCAUGCUGAAUCUUAUUAUUAUUUACUAAUUAUUUACUUUACUAAUAGGAAAGAAGCUGAGACUCAUUCAGAUAAGUUAAUGUCCUAGGAUCACAAAAUUAAUUCGCCUAAUUCCAAAGACCAUAUCCACUGUAUUUGUGUGAUAAUAAUUCAUUCAUUCUCAUAAUCUCAUCAAUUAAACAAAAUUAUAACUUCUAAACAGCUUUCUUACCAAGCAGACAAGUACAAUGUAACAAGUGCAUUGUGUUGAAAAUAAUGUCUUUGUUUACUCAUUUUUGCUUUUAUUGUACAGCUGUUUUAGCCUAGGAAUGAUGGCUUUAACAUAAUAUAUCUUCGUUAAGUAGUAGUCAUCAUUUUUAUAUUUUAUCAUUUCAGCCCAAAGAAGCAAAAAUGAUGAAUGACAGUUUUGCUGUAUGGGUUCCUCAUCAAGAAAUGUUAAGUUUUCUGUUGAGGUUUUACAAUAUAAAAAAUUAGUUUAGAGGUUACCUUCUCUGCAAUCAAGGACCUUUGUCUACUUUAACCUGGGAACUAAAUAUUGUAGUAGAACUCAUUAACACAUGGGUUCAUAACACUAUGCUUGCAAUUUGUGCAGCAAACACUAGGGGGCAUUAAUCUCUGCCUGCACAGACAAUUAGAUUUUCUCCAGGCAUGGAUACCUAGAGAAAGCAAAAUUUAACACAUGGUUCACUUUUGAGGCACAUCACUACAUUAGUCAUGUUUCUUGGUUAAAGACAAAACUUUAGUUAAUGUUCAUAAAUUAAGACUACUAAUAAAUCAACUAAUGAUAGUCCAGAUUGUAGUUAUAGCCAAAUAAAGUCUCUUAUAAGCUGAAAUCCGACCCUUGUCAGAUUUCCCUUUUAGGGAAAUUGGCCUUUGAUAUGAGACCCUAUUGCUAACAUGUGGAAUCCUCACAUAGUUGUGAAAGGCAAAACAUUAUUUUGAACAAAGAAGCAGAAAUGCAUAGAAUAAAUGAAGGAGACCUCAAGUUUAAGAUCACAAAUUAUAAUAUAAGGAGAAUUAAAUGGAUACUACUUAUCUAUGGUCUGCCUGCAUUCAGCAUUUUUCAUAUAUAGAAUUUUUUGCUUGCAAUGAAGGUGAGGUAACAGGGAACAGACUUAUAUUCCUACUUAAAACACCUAAGAAACUUGAUGUAAUAAGGGAAACAUCUGUUUUCAGAUACUGGACAUCAGGCAG